rnacentral:tRNA from 1 species
UGCCAGAUAGCUCAGUUGGUAGAGCACCUGAUUAAAGAUCAAGGGGGUCCAGGUUCAAAUCCCGGUCUGGUCC